CACGUAGGGUGCGAGCGUUGUCCGGAAUUAUUGGGCGUAAAGAGCUCGUAGGCGGUGUGUCGCGUCGGCCGUGAAAACCUGCAGCUUAACUGUGGGCUUGCGGUCGAUACGGGCAUCACUGGAGUUCGGCAGGGGGAGACUGGAAUUCCUGGUGUAGCGGUGAAAUGCGCAGAUAUCAGGAGGAACACCGGUGGCGAAGGCGGGUCUCUGGGCCGAUACUGACGCUGAGGAGCGAAAAGCGUGGGGGAGCGAACAGG
rnacentral:rRNA from 1 species